AAAAUCAGCAGAGCACAGCAAUCCACCUGCCUGAUGCAAACAGCGGCAGAGCGUUACAACAUCACUAUGGAGAAACUUUUCCUUUUCGCUAUUCUGACACUCUUAGUAGUUGCAUCGUUGAUCGAUGUAACGACAGCGGCAGUCUUAGUGGCACCAGCAGGAUGUACGAUUAUGGAUGGUAGAAUUUUGUGUCCGUUUUGGUGGUAUGGUUAAAAUUUUAUUCAAACCAUGCUGCUCAAAUCAAGGACAUCGGCUCCAUGAAUAACGAUUUUGAAACAUCACUCAAUAAAAUUUAAGAAAAAAAACACAAA